rnacentral:lncRNA from 1 species
AAUCCGUUGCAAUACAUUUCGUGCACUUAUUUAUGUUCAAUAACUAAAAAAUCAGCACAUAAAAUACACAAUAAAAAUGAACAAUUUACAAGAUCAAAGAGAAGUAGACUUUGGAAUGGAGUAUGUAUUUUUUUUUUCAAUCAGCGGUGUGCAUUCGAUACCUAAAUCGGAUAUUUAUUAUAAAUAAUCGAAUACCAAUUUUAUAUAUACAUACCUAUUUUUAAAUAGCAAUUUAUUUCAAUUUUAUUUAUUAAUUUUAAAUUAUAGGUUCAAUUUGUUUUUGUUGUUAAUAAAAAAGAUAUUUAAGUUUUAUGAAAGUUUUUAGCAUUAAAUUUUUAUAUGUAUUAUUUAUUUUGGUGUUGCGUCAUUUGUAAUAAUUUUUAACUUUAAUUGAAUUUUUAUUACCUAUUACGGAAUUUUAAUUUAUUCUUAUAUUAUUUCUCAACAAUUCUAAGAUUUUUGUUUCGGCGGAGGGUAAGCCUGGUGUUCUGAAAUAUAAUGCAAUUUGUAACUACUAAAGUAAUGUACUUAUUUGACGAUGAGAAACAAUAAUAAUAAUUGAUUGAUUUUAAAGUCACCAAAUAUUUUUAACCGAAUCCCAAAAAGGAGGUGGUUCUCAAUUUGGAUGUUUGUUUUUGGUCGAAAGGGUAUAUUCCCCAUAUUUGUUAUCAGAUCCUGACCUGAUGAUAAUGGGACCACCUCUGAAGUAUACGCUAUCAAACAAAAAAAGAAUCAUCAAAAUCGAUAAAUAAAUGGCUGAGUAAUCGCGUAACAAACAUACGAAAAAAUGGUCGAAUUGAGAACCUCCGCUUUUUGGGAAGUCGGUUAAAAAUAAGUCGGCGGCGGCCAUCUUUCCUUCUUGGACCAGCUUUCGAU